ACAUGAUUCAGCGGCACGCCAUCCGCUACAUUGUAGGCUUUGAUGUUAUCAGGUAGGUUGGUUCUUGAUGCUAAGAAGAUCGAGUUGUUGGAUUUUUCGGUGUUAAGAAAGGAAAAUCUCGUUUCCUGGGCAACCCUCGCUAACUUCAGCACCAGAUCAAUGAGAGAGAGA